CUGAAUAAAUGAUGACAAGUGGUGGCAUGCGAAUCUUGGAUGAUAAACACCACAGGUCUGUAACUCUGGAUUCCAA
ensembl:snoRNA